rnacentral:lncRNA from 1 species
UGUGGCUAGGGUGAAGGUUUAAGAUUCAAAAUGAUGGUUGAUGUCUAGCCAAAAGGAUAGUUCUAUUAUAUAGUAGUGUUUACAUGCCUAUUUUUUUUUUUAUGAAGGAUCGUCAAUAUGUACUAUUAAUUAAGUUAAACGUAUAUAUCAAUCAGAACGGAAUAGGAUAUGAUAAUACCAAACAGGGUGUAUUGCUUAAUUAAAGGGAUAUGCUGAUCUACGCUGGGCAAUGCAUAUUGUAAAUAUUUUUUUAUAUCACGAAUUGUACUGGGUUAUUUAAUUCACCAGUCAGAUGUUAUGGUGCAUUAUUCAUAAUUCUUCGAACUUUUCAUCAUGUAUAUUAUAAUUAUCAUGAUUAAAUAACCAGUAAAUUUAAUAUUUUUGUACAUAAAAUUUUGCAGCUAAAACGCUGAAAACCGUUUUCCGUCGGGGGGGGCAAAGCCCCCCUGAACCCCUUACCAGGGCUCUGCCCUUGACCUGUUGGGAGCCUUAAGCGGCCACCGACCCCCUGCCGAUUGGUGCCUACAGUUGACUGAAUACCUAGCUACGCCCC